CCUACGGGUGGCAGCAGUGGGGAAUAUUGGACAAUGGGCGAAAGCCUGAUCCAGCCAUGCCACGUGUGUGAAGAAGGCCUUCGGGUUGUAAAGCACUUUCAGUGGGGAAGAAAGCCUUGGGGCUAAUACCCUCGAGGAAGGACAUCACCCACAGAAGAAGCACCGGCUAACUCCGUGCCAGCAGCCGCGGUAAUACGGAGGGUGCGAGCGUUAAUCGGAAUUACUGGGCGUAAAGCGCGCGUAGGCGGUCUGAUAAGCCGGUUGUGAAAGCCCCGGGCUCAACCUGGGAACGGCAUCCGGAACUGUCAGGCUAGAGUGCAGGAGAGGAAGGUAGAAUUCCCGGUGUAGCGGUGAAAUGCGUAGAGAUCGGGAGGAAUACCAGUGGCGAAGGCGGCCUUCUGGACUGACACUGACGCUGAGGUGCGAAAGCGUGGGUAGCAAACAGGAUUAGAUACCCUAGUAGUC
rnacentral:rRNA from 1 species